rnacentral:rRNA from 2 species
GUGGUCAAGCUAACAAGGGCUGAUGGUGGAUACCUAGGCACACAGAGGCGAAGAAGGACGUGGUUACCGACGAUAUGCUCUGGGGAGUUGGAAGCAAGCAUUGAUCCAGAGAUUUCCGAAUGGGGCAACCCUAUAUACUGCCACCUGAAUCCAUAGGGUGGCAAGAGCGAACGCAGCGAAUUGAAACAUCUUAGUAGCUGUAGGAAGAGAAAACAAACGUGAUUUCCCAAGUAGCGGCGAGCGAAACGGAAACAGCCUAAACCAGGGUGCAUGCACCUUGGGGUCGUGGGACAGCGAUAUGGACUCAAGCGGCUAGACGAAGCAGUGGAAUGCUGCACCAGAGGGGGUGAAAGUCCCGUAGUCGAAAGCUUAAUGAUACUAGCUGAAUCCCGAGUAGCAUGGGGCACGUGAAAUCCCGUGUGAAUCCGCGAGGACCACCUCGUAAGGCUAAAUACUCCUGUGUGACCGAUAGUGAACCAGUACCGCGAGGGAAAGGUGAAAAGAACCCCGGAAGGGGAGUGAAAUAGAACAUGAAACCAUCAGCCUACAAGCAAUGGGAGGACGAUUUAAACGUCUGACCGUGUGCCUGUUGAAGAAUGAGCCGGCGACUUAUAGGUACAGGUAGAUUAAGCCGAGAAUGGCGAAGUCAAAGGGAAACCGAGUCUGAACAGGGCGUUAAUCUGUAUUUAUAGACCCGAACCCGGGUGAUCUAACCAUGGGCAGGAUGAAGCUUGGGUAACACCAAGUGGAGGUCCGAACCGACUGAUGUUGAAAAAUCAGCGGAUGACCUGUGGUUAGGGGUGAAAUGCCAAUCGAACCCGGAGCUAGCUGGUUCUCCCCGAAAUGUGUUGAGGCGCAGCGGCAAUGAUUAUAGCGAGGGGGUAAAGCACUGAUUCGGUGCGGGCUGCGAGAGCGGUACCAAAUCGAGUCAAACUCUGAAUACCUCGUGUACAGAUUGCCAGUGAGACGGUGGGGGAUAAGCUUCAUCGUCAAGAGGGAAACAGCCCAGACCACCAGCUAAGGUCCCCAAAUCACAACUCAGUGAUAAAGGAGGUGAGAGUGCCCAGACAACCAGGAGGUUUGCCUAGAAGCAGCCAUCCUUAAAAGAGUGCGUAAUAGCUCACUGGUCAAGCGCUCUUGCGCCGAAAAUGAACGGGGCUAAGUUGUGUACCGAAGCUGUGGGAUAUAUCUAUCGAUGUAUCGGUAGGGGAGCGUUCUGUUGUAGUUUGAAGCAUCAGCGAGAGCAGGUGUGGACGAAGCAGAAGUGAGAAUGUCGGCUUGAGUAGCGCAAACAUUGGUGAGAAUCCAAUGCCCUGAAAUCCCAAGGUUUCCUCCGCAAGGCUCGUCCACGGAGGGUGAGUCAGGACCUAAGGCGAGGCUGAAGAGCGUAGUCGAUGGACAAUCGGUUAAUAUUCCGAUACUGAUUCUGGAUUGUGCAGAGGGACGGAGAAGGCUAACACAGCCGCAUGUUGGUUCGCGGUUUAAGUGUUCGAGGUGAUGAGAGCCGGUGAAAACGGCUUGAGCUGAGACAUGAGUACGAGAGUCUACGGACUCGAAGUGUGUGACGUCAAGCUUCCUAGAAAAGCUCUAACCACGUUAAUCCAGAAUUACCUGUACCCUAAACCGACACAGGUGGGAAGGUUGAGAAUACCCAAGGGCGCGAGAUAACUCUCUCUAAGGAACUCGGCAAAAUGGCCCCGUAACUUCGGGAGAAGGGGUGCCAUCGAAAGGUGGUCGCAGUGAAGAGGCCCAAGCGACUGUUUACCAAAAACACAGGUCUCCGCGAAGUCGUAAGACGAAGUAUGGGGGCUGACGCCUGCCCAGUGCCGGAAGGUUAAAGAAGUCGGUCAGGGAUUCGUCCUGAAGCUGGCGACUGAAGCCCCGGUGAACGGCGGCCGUAACUAUAACGGUCCUAAGGUAGCGAAAUUCCUUGUCGGGUAAGUUCCGACCCGCACGAAAGGCGUAACGAUUUGGGCGCUGUCUCGGAGAGAGGCUCGGCGAAAUAGGAGUGUCUGUGAAGAUACGGACUACCUGCACCUGGACAGAAAGACCCUAUGAAGCUUUACUGUAGCCUGGUAUUGGGUUCGGGCUUUGUUUGCGCAGGAUAGGUGGGAGACUAAGAGAUUGUCCUUGUGGGGACGAUGGAGUCAACGGUGAGAUACCACUCUAACAAAGCUAGAAUUCUAACCGUUUGCCGUGAUCCGGCAGCGGAACCGUAUCAGGUGGGCAGUUUGACUGGGGCGGUCGCCUCCUAAAAGGUAACGGAGGCGCGCAAAGGUUCUCUCAGGCUGGUUGGAAAUCAGCCGUAGAGUGUAAAAGCACAAGAGAGCUUGACUGUGAGACGUACAUGUCGAACAGGGACGAAAGUCGGCUUUAGUGAUCCGACGGCGCUGCGUGGAAAGGCCGUCGCUAAACGGAUAAAAGUUACUCUAGGGAUAACAGGCUGAUCUCCCCCAAGAGUUCACAUCGACGGGGAGGUUUGGCACCUCGAUGUCGGCUCAUCGCAACCUGGGGCGGUAGUACGUCCCAAGGGUUGGGCUGUUCGCCCAUUAAAGCGGUACGUGAGCUGGGUUCAGAACGUCGUGAGACAGUUCGGUCCAUAUCCGGUGCAGGCGUAAGAGCAUUGAGAGGAGCCUUCCUUAGUACGAGAGGACCGGGAAGGACGCACCGCUGGUGUACCAGUUAUCGUGCCAACGGUAAACGCUGGGUAGCUAUGUGCGGAGCGGAUAACCGCUGAAAGCAUCUAAGUGGGAAGCCCACCUCAAGAUGAGUGCUCUCAUGGGGUUAACCCAGUAAGGUCACGGGCAGAACACCCGUUGAUAGGCGGUAGAUGGAAGUGCAGUAAUGCAUGCAGUCGAGCCGUACUAAUAGACCGAGGGCUUGACCUCUGA